AUUGAACGCCGGCGGCAGGCCUAACACAUGCAAGUCGGACGGUAGCACAGAGGAGCUUGCUCCUUGGGUGACGAGUGGCGGACGGGUGAGUAAUGUCUGGGGAUCUGCCCGAUAGAGGGGGAUAACCACUGGAAACGGUGGCUAAUACCGCAUAACGUCGCAAGACCAAAGUGGGGGACCUUCGGGCCUCACACCAUCGGAUGUGCCCAGAUGGGAUUAGCUAGUAGGUGGGGUAAUGGCUCACCUAGGCGACGAUCCCUAGCUGGUCUGAGAGGAUGACGAGCCACACUGGAACUGAGACACGGUCCAGACUCCUACGGGAGGCAGCAGUGGGGAAUAUUGCACAAUGGGCGCAAGCCUGAUGCAGCCAUGCCGCGUGUAUGAAGAAGGCCUUCGGGUUGUAAAGUACUUUCAGCGGGGAGGAAGGCGGUGAAGUUAAUAACUUCACCGAUUGACGUUACCCGCAGAAGAAGCACCGGCUAACUCCGUGCCAGCCGCCGCCGUAA
rnacentral:rRNA from 1 species